AAAAUAAUGAAAGGUUACUGCUUUUGCCAUAAAUUAAUUCCAUCAAAGGUUGCUGAUUUUGUUUGGCAGGUACUUUUGUGUCCCUUCUAGAUUUAAUCUUCACAAAAGACAAGGGGGAUUAUUUAUCUUGAUGCUUGCACUUGUUGUGGCAGUUGCGGAAUGGCAAAAUCGUCUCAAUGUGUCUUCUUCGAAUGCCCAAUCUUUUCAAAUGUUUAGUAUGGAAUUGCGAGAUGGUUAGGAUUAGCUGUGGCGUUUCACAAUGAAGUGAAGCAUCAUUUCUUUAAUUUCAUUGGGGUGUUGAAGAAAGGGAGAGUAUAGAAACAAUGAUUCAAAUUUUCUAUCUCUCAAUGGUUUUCAAAUCGUUUUUGUGCACCGGCCCUUAGUUCUGGUCAAGGUGCGCGUGUUGGUGUGUUGGCGAGUAAGGUGUCGCUGGGUUCGUCUACUGCAUCAUUAUUUUCCUGUGGUUGCAGAUUGAGAUGUGUUGUUGUCUUCUCUGUGUUGUUUUAGAAGCAUCGUGGACUAAUCGUCUCGGAACUUUGAGCUAGUGCUUGGGCAGUGCAGAAUUAUUUGUCUCUCUUGCUUCAAUUUCUGAAUUAGACAAAUGCAGGAUUUGAAAAUACUCAUUAUGGCAUUAAAUACUUACAAAGCAAUCUAAGGCUCAAAUACUUACAAAGGAAAAUUAUGUUUCACUACAAUAGUUUUGGUCUAUGGUGGCACCGCUUUUCUUCCAUCUAUGUUAUUGAGGUUCACUAAUCUAGAAACAAUACUACAUGUUCAACUUCAUCAAAGGGAGUUCUAUUUUCACCCUUAUUGUCUUGAUAGUACUUUAUAAGAUGGAGGAGGAAUGUGAAAUGUAUAGAGGGGAGGCUCACAAGGCACCCAUUCUAGCAGCUAUAAAGUUGGGAAUGUUGUCCUUUUGUACUGAUUUGCAAAAAUGUGAGAUUUCCAUCGAGCAAAAGUGAAGCUCUCUUUGGGAAAUUGAUACAGCUCGUCACCACUACUGUCCUCUUGUCUCACGACAAGUGUUUUGAUCUUUGGCACAUUACUCCUUGUUUUCCUUUUCUUCGGUUUUAUAUUUAAUCUGUGUUUAUGGAUUUUGACAUGCUUUUACAUGUACUUUUAGGUCCGCUUUGUCUCCUGAAACUGAUUUGACAGUCAAGGCCAAAACAAGUGAUGUUAAUGUAGGUGAUUUUAGUGUUGGUAAUGUUGAUGAUUUUGAUGUUGCAAAUUGAUAGAUGAUUAGUUCUACUGCACUGAUAUUGAUGUCCUGUGGUCAUAAUUUACAUGUACGCAGUCAGACAUGUACCUAAAUUCAACACAAAUAGCAGUUCAAUGCUUAUUUUAUGGUAUGGCCUCUUCUUAAGUAUUUUAUGA